CCUACGGGAGGCUGCAGUGAGGAAUAUUGGUCAAUGGGAGAGAUCCUGAACCAGCCAAGCCGCGUGAGGGAAGACGGCCCUAUGGGUUGUAAACCUCUUUUGUCGGAGAACAAAACCCGGGACGUGUCCCGGACUGCGUGUAUCCGAAGAAAAAGCAUCGGCUAACUCCGUGCCAGCAGCCGCGGUAAUACGGAGGAUGCGAGCGUUAUCCGGUUGGAUUGGGUUUAAAGGGUGCGUAGGCGGUCCGUUAAGUCAGCGGUAAAAUGGCGGGGCUCAAACCCGUCGAGCCGUGGAAACUGGCAGACUUGAGUUGGCGAGAAGUACGCGGAAUGCGCGGUGUAGCGGUGAAAUGCAUAGAUAUCGGGCAGAACUCCGAUUGCGAAGGCAGCGUACCGGCGCCAGACUGACGCUGAGGCACGAAAGCGUGGGGAUCGAACAGGAUUAGAUACCCCGGUAGUC
rnacentral:rRNA from 1 species